CCGCUGCUGGUGAUGUUCGGCACGUUGUCGCUGAUGGCGGCGGCGCGCGGGCAGACCGUCGCGUCCGGCGUGCUGAUCGCCGCGGCAUUC
rnacentral:tRNA from 1 species